GUUCAAACUCAGUCCUGCUGCAACAUGCAAGUUCAACGGCUCCGGACUGGUCCGUGUGACGAUACAGUGGAAGUGCAAAUACUGAUUCUUUGAGAGCUUUGGAGGAGACAAGUUCUGCAGGUUCUGCAUGGCAAUGAGGAGUGAGAACCCCGAACUGCAGACAUUCACAACAGACAGGUACAGGAGGUACAGCAGGAUCCCACUUUGGCAAAAUAGUAUGGUGUAAAGGGGCGAUGUGUACUAACUGACAGUCUGGAGUGCUUUCAUGUUGUUCGUGGCUGUCCCCCUGACAUCCUGCACGACCUUUUUGAAGGGGUUGUUCCUGUUGAGUUAUGACUCUGCAUUUCAGAACUGAUUUCUAAGAAAUAUUUCACAUUAGAAACACUGAACCAUGCUAUCAAAUCUUUUGCAUAUGCUUUUCAUGACAAAACUGACCAGCCUCAGCCUAUUGCCCAAGGCUUCUCUACCAAAGGGACCAUAGGUGGAAAUGGCCAUGAGAACUGGGCUCUAAUCAGGUUGCUCCCACUUCUCAUUGGCCAUAAGGUGCCUGAAGGGGACAAUGCCGGGAACUUUCUGAUGCUCCUUAAAGAUAUUGUUGAAUUGGCUGUAGCAACAAGGCACAUGGAGAUGCUGGAUAGGUGUUUUUUUGUGGAGCUCAAACUCAUUCAACAUUUACACUAGGAAACUAGGGCUCACUAAAAAUCGCCAUUGAGGGAGAAUUGGUGAUGGACAACAUUCAAGAUCUGCCAAAAGCUGUGUGUCUUUGGACUUGCAUAUGCAAUGCAUCUCAAUUACCCCAUUUCUAUGAAGUUCACGUUCCAGUUCAUCCAACAGGUAUUUCUUGAGCUGGGCCAUGUUGAACUAAAACCAAAGUUACAAACAUUGAAAAACCAGCUUGCAAUGUAAAGAAAUGUCUUGUGUGUUGUCAGUGAACAGUCAGGGGGUUGAAUAUAUACUCAAGGGCAACUUUAUCAACUCCAUCUGCAUUAUCUAAUGCAGUUCAGUGCAGCAGUACUGCCACAACUUUUAUUUCUUAAGACAGUUUGUAAUGUUCAGUUUACAGUGUUAUAAGAGACAUCAAUGUCAGGCCACUUGUACUCUACAGGACAAGAUGUGUACGCUCAGGGCUCCAUAGUAAUACUUAGCUGAUACAGUUAAAGGAAAAUUCAGCACUUUUUGUGUAAAUGUCCAGUUUGUGUUGAUGGUAAAUGUAGUCAUUUGAAGCAAUGUAAUUCUUCCUCAACAGCAACAUCACCGCUUGUUUUACAGGUUUUCUCAGUCAAUAGCAGCACAGGAAUUUAUUGCUUCAGUUGGUUACAUUUACUAAUAACACAGACUGUACAUUUACACAAAACAUGCAAAAUCUUCCCUUAAACAUAGUUGAUCUGUUCAUUUUCAAGUUGGAGGUUGUGUUCAAUUUUAAGGUGUCCAGUUUUUCCAAAACGAUGCAAAUGUUUUUGUUAAAUGCUGCCACGUUUGUAUUCCUUCUCUAAACAUGUUAGAAUUGAUUUCAAGCACA